rnacentral:misc_RNA from 1 species
CAAACCCAUUCCAGCCGUUGUAAGCGAUCUUCUCGCUGGCCCCGACGCAUCGAUACCUGGUGGCUGGUCGGCACUCCAUAAGCUCGCCGUCUGCUGUCCUGGCCUCCUCCACGCGGGCGUUCUCCUUGAACACUCUGAUUUUGGCCUCGAACGUGAUCUCGGCCCCGAUGAUAAUUACCAUAAGCUGGCGUCCUUUCAAUUGAAAACCACACU